AUUGAACGCUGGCGGCAGGCCUAACCCAUGCAAGUCGAACGCGUGGCGGACGGGUGAGUAACGUCUGGGAAACUGCCUGAUGGAGGGGGAUAACUACGGGAAACGGAAGCUAAUACCGCAUUUCUUCUGAUGUGCCCAGAUGGGCUUAGCUGGUUGGUGGGGUAACGGCACACCAAGGCGACGAUCCCUAGCUGGUCUGAGAGGAUGACCGGCCACACUGGAACUGAGACACGGUCGAGACUGCUCCGGGAGGCAGAAGUGGGGAAGAUGGGAGGAUGGGGAGAAGCCUGAUGCAGACAUGCCGCGUGUAUGAAGAAGGCCUGCGGGUUGUAAGGUACUUUCAGCGGGGAGGCGUUACCCGCAGAAGAAGCACCGGCUAACUCCGUGCCAGCAGCCGCGGUAAUAC
rnacentral:rRNA from 1 species